rnacentral:rRNA from 1 species
UGGGGAAUCUUCCACAAUGGGCGAAAGCCUGAUGGAGCAACGCCGCGUGUGUGAUGAAGGGUUUCGGCUCGUAAAACACUGUUGUAAGAGAAGAAUGACAUUGAGAGUAACUGUUCAAUGUGUGACGGUAUCUUACCAGAAAGGAACGGCUAAAUACGUGCCAG